UACGUAGGGUGCAAGCGUUGUCCGGAAUUAUUGGGCGUAAAGAGCUCGUAGGCGGUCUGUCGCGUCGGAUGUGAAAACCCAGGGCUCAACCCUGGGCCUGCAUUCGAUAACGGGCAGACUAGAGUUCGGUAGGGGAGACUGGAAUUCCUGGUGUAGCGGUGAAAUGCGCAGAUAUCAGGAGGAACACCAAUUGCGAAGGCAGCUCGCUGGGACGUUACUGACGCUGAGACGCGAAAGCGUGGGGAGCAAACAGG
rnacentral:rRNA from 1 species